rnacentral:rRNA from 1 species
CAGAGUGGAUCCUGAGUACGGCGGAACACGUGAAAUUCCGUCGGAAUCCGGGAGGACCAUCUCCCAAGGCUAAAUACUCCCUAGUGACCGAUAGUGAACCAGUACCGUGAGGGAAAGGUGAAAAGCACCCCGGAAGGGGAGUGAAACAGUUCCUGAAACCGUGUGCCUACAAGUAGUUAGAGCCCGUUAAUGGGUGAUAGCGUGCCUUUUGUAGAAUGAACCGGCGAGUUACGAUUUGUUGCAAGGUUAAGCGGAAAAAGCGGAGCCGUAGCGAAAGCGAGUCUGAAUAGGGCGCAUAAGUAACAGGUCGUAGACCCGAAACCAGGUGAUCUACCCAUGUCCAGGAUGAAGGUAAGGUAAUACUUACUGGAGGUCCGAACCCACGCACGUUGAAAAGUGCGGGGAUGAGGUGUGGGUAGCGGAGAAAUUCCAAUCGAACUUGGAGAUAGCUGGUUCUCUCCGAAAUAGCUUUAGGGCUAGCCUCGAGGUAAAGAGUCAUGGAGGUAGAGCACUGUUUGGACUAGGGGCCCUUCUCGGGUUACCGAAUUCAGAUAAACUCCGAAUGCCAUGUACUUAUACUCGGGAGUCAGACUGCGAGUGAUAAGAUCCGUAGUCGAAAGGGAAACAGCCCAGACCACCAGUUAAGGUCCCCAAAUAUAUGUUAAGUGGAAAAGGAUGUGGGGUUGCUUAGACAACCAGGAUGUUGGCUUAGAAGCAGCCACCAUUGAAAGAGUGCGUAAUAGCUCACUGGUCGAGUGACCCCGCGCCGAAAAUGUACCGGGGCUAAACAUAUUACCGAAACUGUGGAUGAACCUCUUUAGAGGUUCGUGGUAGGAGAGCGUUCUAAGGGCGGUGAAGUCAGACCGGAAGGACUGGUGGAGCGCUUAGAAGU